AUUUUUUCUAGAAUGGAAAAUUAAAAAACAAUGUUUAAUAGCGACAAAAAAAAACUGAAAAAUACUAGGCAUACCUCCACACAAACUUUGUAUUUGAUGCUCUCGUGUACUAUCAUCCUCGCUAUAUGAUUUUACAUAGCUACAUCACAACGACAAUGAAAAAGCUACCAAGCAAUCCCAACAUGUUGAAGAGAACUGUCCCUUCAUCUAGUCAGCAGGUUUCUUUUGGUUCUGAUAUAACUAAUGCAAGAAACAUGAAUGAAAAUGUAGAUCAAAUCGCAGUUGAAGCCAACAACGAUGCGUCUACUUUAAAGAUUGGCUUGCUCACUAUAAAUCCAAAGCAGGAAGAGUCUAAAUUCUCCGUAGAUGCUGAUGCUGUUGAGACAGUAACAGUAGGAUCUAUGCCAGUGAAAGUCAAUGGAUUUACUGAAUCAUCGGCUACCUAACAUUUGGUACUAUUCCUCAUAAUCCCAAGACCCUACAGCCCGAAGGAGGUACUGCCAAAAAGGGUAGUGAUUGUGGUUAGGCUGAUGACUAACUGGGGGCUUCUUUUUUUUCGGCUGGAACAUACUGCAACCUGGUAGCUAUGUGCAGUCUUGACUGUUGUAAAACUCACUGUACCAUCAUACUCAUUGUUACAGGAUGGUUAAACGAAAUACUUGGUUCAGGUCAGAUUUUUGCUGUUUUUCACCCCACCCCCUCGUUCUUCACUCUUUGACUUACAAGCUGGUUUCCAAGUCCAUGGACAAAUAUACAGACAGACAGACAGACAAGACUGCUUUUUUAGUUUUGUUUUGUUUUUUUGUUUUUGUUUUGUGAGGUGUGGGAGGUGCUUUUCAAUUUGCUUUAGUGGGAAAGCAGUGGAAUCUUUGUUGUUUUUGCACUUCAAUAUUGAACAUGAAAGAAAAAAAUCUGUUUGGUUUUUUGCAAGAUAUUGUAUUUCCAGUGUUCCCUGUUGGAAUCAAAUGUACAAUGUCUUUUUUUUUUUCUUUUAAAAAAAUGAAAUCAGAGAUCUUAGUUGAUUUUGGGAGCCUCCUUUUAUUUUCUUGGACGAUGAUGAUUCUUACAGGGGUUAUAGUGAUUGUGAUAUUCUUACAAGGCAAAUUUGUUUCUUAAUUAGUACUUGUGUUUCAAUAUACGUUGUGAUUGUUUGUUAGUUUCUUUAUUUUACUAUUAUAUAUAUGUAUAUGUAUGUAUAUAUAUGCUUCAGUUUCAUGCUGUAAGUAGCCAAUGUAAGCAUGCUUGUAAAGGUAGACACCUUAUAUGGCUACUUCAACCUGUGGGAUGAGUAGUAAAAUGUUUGAUGUCUACUAAGCAAUGUUCAAGCUCGGAUCUUACCAGUGGACAUGGAGAAAAAUAAACGUUUGAAAAUUUCUGUUUUCAUUUAGGGAUCCAACUUGGUUAUCGGACAUCAGAAACUAUAGGAUCUCAUGCCAUAUUCUAGGAAAAAAUUCUGAAUCUAAAAUUUAUCAAUGAUUAUUCUACUAGAUCCAUAUCUCUAUGCAUCUGCUUGAUAAAAUAGAUCACCCUUUACUAUCACAUUGGACAAGCAUACCUAGAAUCAAUAUCCUAGAAGCUAUUGAGAGGCUAAUAUGGAUACAAGACCUUUAAAUGCUGCAAUACACAAAAUGGUAGCUCACUUUGUUUGGACCUUGGAUUUGCUUCUCCCACUGUUUCUGCUGUUGCUGUCUCCAAUGCCCCAGACCAGACCAAACAGGCUUGAAUUCAAGCAGAUGUUCGAGGAUGCCUAUGAACGCCAUCGUACUGCUUCCACGGAAGGUGUUUCUUUCAUUCUUCGAGUAUUUCCAGACUGCCCUUGAAAACUACAAUUUUGAUUCUGAACUUCGAACCAAGGUAAAAGGAACAAGUUUUCUGUACAGAUGCCAUAGAGGCAAUUUGUUGACAAUACUGCAAAAGGUCCAUUCAAAUAUGGGAAAUAUCCAGACAGCUUUAUGCAUUCUCACUCGAUGCCUUUGACUAACCGGUUUGCAUGUGGUCGUCGGCGAAAACAAGGGCGGAGUAGUGGCAUCGGUGGAGGGUCUUCGGGGCUUUGUCUGUGGUCCCUGAACUGCAUAUGAACACUGUGUUUCAGAUAUUUCUACAGUUGUUCAGCCCGGUGGACACUCUGAAGGUGACUCGAGACUCGCUCAUUGUAUAGGUCAAAUGAUAUAUAUGUCAUGGUAUUGAGCCACAACCACGAAAGAAGCAGAGUAAGUCUAUCUACAAAGAAACUAGAGCCAAUCCCAGGAGAUAUGAUCUGGAAUCGAACUCCAGAGAUGGCUCAGACAUUCAGGCAAAGAAUCGCUCGAGCAGAAGCCAUGGCUCGUGCAGGCGUGCUUAGAUUCCGGCCAGAGUUACAGUUCUUAAGUUACUAAAAAAUGCAGUUAGUUCAUGUGCUAUGUUGUGCGGUUACCUUGCCUUUGUGAUUAAUGUUGCAGAGUGGGUUAACCCCUAACCGUUGACGGUGAAUCGGGUCCGGUUACAUCAGACUUGCCACCAGAAGGCAUGGUCCUCAGUGACUUUCAUUAAGCAGAAGAUUCAUAGCCUAAUUUUAAUUUGCAUUAGCUUGUACUUUGUGAAAUUGGGUAUACCAUUCAAUUGCUUUUAUCACAUGGGAAUCCGUGGAUCAAAUUCUAAA